rnacentral:rRNA from 1 species
UGGCGGCGUGGUUNAGACAUGCAAGUCGAACGGGUUUUUCUGAAGGGCAACCGGAGGAAAAGCCAGUGGCAGACGGGUGCGUAACACGUAAGCAAUCUACCCUUGUGUGGGGAAUAACCUGUCGAAAGACGGGCUAAUGCCGCAUACGGUUGUCCUUCACCUGAAGGGCAUACUAAAACCCGGGACCGAAAGGCCGGGUGCAUGAGGAGGGGCUUGCGGCCUAUCAGCUAGUUGGCGGGGUAACGGCCCACCAAGGCUAAGACGGGUAGCUGGUCUGAGAGGACGANCAGCCACACUGGAACUGAGACACGGNCCAGACAACUACGGGUGGCAGCAGUUUCGAAUUAUUCACGAUGGGCGAAAGCCUGAUGGUGCGACGCCGCGUNAAGGAUGAAGGUCUUCGGUUUGUAAACCCC